UUAUUUAUUUAUUUUUGAGAAACAGCUAAAUUCUUGGUGACUUUCACUGCAGCCUUACACAGUGAGCUGUGAAUCGCACCAGAACCAUGUGUGAUGUAACAGAACCAUACAUUCCACAGAUUCCCUUUCCCAAAAGUGAGUUCUAGUUGGCUCUGACUUGCUAAUACCUGAUUUGAAAACCAAGAGAGGAAAUGAACUCAUGAUGGAAGAGAAAAGAGGCCCUAGGCAGGCCUACACUGUCUUGCUGGAAAAGAGCAACCCACAUCAGCCACCUCGGCAUGUGAGCUGCUGAGACAGCUCUUCAGACCGCAUCCAGAUCACAGCUGUCCUGCCCAUGGAGCACCUGAUCGGGGUGCUUGGAGGCUAACACCUGCCCUGCAUGGCCUAUGUCACCCUCCAAAAGGAGGCAAGAGUGCGAGUGUCAAAAAUGCAAUUGCAGUGGUAGAAGCCUGC
rnacentral:lncRNA from 1 species